rnacentral:misc_RNA from 1 species
UCCUGGUUAACCCAGGCAGUCUCACUAGAGUUCCCACCUUAAAUGUUGGCAACUAGUGAUAAGGGUUGCGCUCGUUGCUGGACUUAACCAAACACCUCACGGCACGAGCUGACGACAGCCAUGCAGCACCUGUGUAGCAGCCCCGAAGGGAAAUAGUGUUUCCACUAUCGUCUACUACAUGUCAAACCUGGGUAAGGUUCUUCGCGUUGCAUCGAAUUAAACCACAUGCUCCACUGCUUGUGCGGGUCCCCGUCAAUUCUUUUGAGUUUCACCCUUGCGAGCGUACUCCCCAGGCGGUAUACUUAUCGCGUUAGCUUCGGCACAACCAGGGUUGAGUCCGGUUACACCAAGUAUACAUCGUUUACGGCAAGGACUAC